rnacentral:tRNA from 1 species
AGGAGUGUAGCUUAGUGGUAAGGCACAUGUCUGCUGUGCUGAGGACCUAGUGGUAAGGCACAUGUCUGCUGUGCUGAGGACCGGGGUUCAAUCCCCGCUUUUCCU